rfam:Trichodesmium erythraeum IMS101, complete genome.
GUUCUACUAUGACGUUGGUAACUGCCAAAAAUGUUUUUUUGACCUACAAAUCAAAAAACAUGGGAAUCUAGAUUUUUAAGUGUCAGUAAACUGGGCUUGUAUCCAGAAACUUUAAACUUAAGCCAAGAUACCCACCUGGUAUUAUCCAGGUCAAAAGCUGAGGUAAGACGGCGUUGCGGUAGACCA